UACGGGGGAUGCAAGCGUUAUCCGGAUUUACUGGGUGUAAAGGGAGCGUAGGCGGCUUAGUAAGUCAGAAGUGAAAGCCCGCAGCUCAACUGCGGGACUGCUUUUGAAACUGCCAGGCUAGAGUGUCGGAGAGGUAAGUGGAAUUCCUAGUGUAGCGGUGAAAUGCGUAGAUAUUAGGAGGAACACCAGUGGCGAAGGCAUCUCACGAAUCCGCGAUUGACGCUGAUGCACGAAAGCGUGGGUAUCAAACAGG
rnacentral:rRNA from 1 species